rnacentral:snRNA from 1 species
UGACUCUGGUUUCUCUUCAUAACGCACAAGUCUUUCGCCUUUUACUAAAGACUUCCGUGGAGAGGAACAGCCAUGAGUUUAAGAUAUUUUGGCAGAUGCUGAAUGGCCGAG